rnacentral:rRNA from 1 species
GACGGAGGAUGCAAGCGUUAUCCGGAAUUAUUGGGCGUAAAGCGUCCGCAGGUGGCUGUUCAAGUCUGCUGUCAAAGCGCAGAGCUUAACUCUGUACAGGCGGUGGAAACUGAAGAGCUAGAGUAUGGUAGGGGUAGAGGGAAUUCCUGGUGUAGCGGUGAAAUGCGCAGAUAUCAGGAGGAACACCAGUGGCGAAGGCGGUGCUCUGGGCCGGAACUGACGCUGAGGAGCGAAAGCGUGGGGAGCAAACAGG